rnacentral:rRNA from 1 species
CCCUUAGAUGUCCUGGGCCGCACGCGCGCUACACUGAUGCAUGCAACGAGUUUAUAACCUUGGCCUGAAAGGUCUGGGUAAUCUUUUGAACGUGCAUCGUGAUAGGGAUAGGUUAUUGCAAUUGUUAAUCUUGAACGAGGAAUUCCUAGUAAACGCGAGUCAUCAGCUCGCAUUGAUUACGUCCCUGCCCUUUGUACACACCGCCCGUCGCACCUACCGAUUGAAUGGUUCGGUGAAGAUCUCGGACUUCGAUAUUUAUUCUUUAUUGAGUUUAUAUUGUGGGAAGUUAUCUAAACCUCAUCAUUUAGAGGAAGGUGAAGUCGUAACA